AACGAACGCUGGCGGCGUGCCUAACACAUGCAAGUCGUGCGAGAAAGUUCCUUCGGGAGCGAGUAAAGCGGCGCACGGGUGAGUAACACGUAGGUAACCUGCCCCCAGUCUGGAACAACUAGAGGAAACUCUAGCUAAUGCCGGAUGAGACCACGAUCCCUUCGGGGGUUGCGGCCAAAGAUGGCCUCUACUUGUAAGCUAUCGCUGAGGGAUGGGCCUGCGGGCCAUUAGCUUGUUGGUGAGGUAACGGCUCACCAAGGCUGUGAUGGCUAGCUGGUCUGAGAGGAUGACCAGCCACACUGGGACUGAGACACGGCCCAGACUCCUACGGGAGCAGCAGUGGGAAUAUUGCGCAAUGGGCGAAAGCCUGACGCAGCGACGCCGCGUGGGUGAUGAAGGCCU
rnacentral:rRNA from 1 species